rnacentral:misc_RNA from 1 species
UCUCCGUAGGUGAACCUGCGGAGGGAUCAUUACAGAGUUCAUGCCCUACCGGGUAGAUCUCCCACCCUAUGUUAUUAUUACUUUGUGGCUUUGGCGGGCCGUUAGGCUCCGGCCCGACUACCGGCCCCGGCUGGUAAGCGCCCGCCAGAGGACCCAAAACCCUGAAUAUUAGUGUCUACUGAGUACUAUAUAAUAGUUAAAACUUUCAACAACGGAUCUCUUGGUUCUG